UGUUCGCACAUUUAGACUUUGUGUUUUAAAUAGAGCUUGUGCUCCGGGAACCAAAUAUGGUGGGCUGGGUUGUCUUUUGCGGAAACGCUUGGGCGACUUGUCUACGAAUUGUAAUCAUAAUAUGCGCGACGGUGAAUCCUUUGCAGACGACUUGAAUGGGAACGGGGUACUGUAAGUGGUAGAGUAGCCUUGUUGCUACGAUCCACUGAGGUUAAGCCCUUGUUCUAAAGAUUUGU
rnacentral:rRNA from 1 species